GGAUGGCAUUUGGCAUUUGCAUAUCAGAAAACACACAAGCAACUCAAGCAUUGUAAAUCUCUCUUUAGUGCAAUACAAGUUCUUCAUUUGGCUUCAUUGCUUUCUUCUCUAGUUCGAGAAGCUCAAGGCUUAUCAGAAAACACACAAGCAACUCAAGCAUUGUAAAUCUCUCUUUAGUGCAAUACAAGUUCUUCAUUUGACUUCAUUACUUUCUUCUCUAGUUCGAGAAGUGCAAGGCUUACUUAGCAACCUCUGGCAAGUUGUCUAAGUGCCGCAGGGGUUAGCUGCGCAAAAUACUCAUCCCGUGACACCUUGCUCAAAUUCAAAAUCCAUUUCUUUUUCAUCAGAUUACACUGAUGAGGACUAAUAUACUUAUGAGAUGAAUCUGAAGCUUAAAUGUCAGGCUCUAUGUGUAGC
rnacentral:lncRNA from 1 species